GGCCUCUGACUAAGGCGCGAUACCUUUACCUCGGUCGCUCGCCGGCUCGCUCGGUCCCGGCUCUGUGGAAAUAGUGGGGUGAGAACUACAACAAAGUUUCCAGUGGGUUCGGCCUCAACAUCACCGACUUUCCCACUAGGACUAACUCAGGCAUAAUAGAAAGGAUAAGUAGGAUAUAGUAACCAAUCUAUAACAUGAUGCUAAUAUGCCUGAACAAUAGCAAGGAAUAUGCUCAACAUUAACGUAUGCAAAUUAUGCAAGUUCUUUCGUUCUUUAUCUUUUUCACUUUGUUCUUUAUUCUUUGCUCUUUGUUCUUUAUUCUUUAAUCUCAAGGCUAACCCGGGGGUUUCGCCACAUUAACUUGCUUCACAUUAAGUCCAUCAUCGCAGGAACUCACCAGCUAGGACCGUCCUUACGGGUUUACUCCAACCCGGAUGCAUAACUCCGGAGCGCAUCGCUCGAGGGGGAGCGACCACCCUCGAGCACGGAACUCAUAGCAAGUAUGAUCAUAUCCUUAACUCAAAGGAUUUAUAAGUUCAAUCUUGACUUUACACUAGCUCUAGUGUUCUUUACAUCACUUUAUAUUGCAAACUUAUGCAAUCACAUUCUUCACAUUUCUUUUACUUUUGCUAACUCUAGCAAUUAUAUUCUUUAUUCCCCACAUUACUUUUACUUUAGACAUUGUCAUUUUCAUCAUUCUUUACAUUACAUUGGUUCUUUGCAUCACACUAACUCUAGUGUCUCUUUACUUUACAUUUUCAAUUGCCACUCGAUCUAUGUCAUUGUGCCACUCAGUUCUUUUGCUCACUUUGGGUGCUCACAUUUUCUCUCAUGCAUACAUCUAGGGUUUCGACGUUAUUAGGUUCUCAACCAUCUCAUUAUGCAAGUUGUACUCACAAUCAUGCAAUCAUCACAUUUCAUCAUAACUUUACCCUAAAAUGCAUGCAACAAUAUAUAGAACAUAUGCUCAAAGAAUGACACAUUAGGCAUAGAGAGAAUUUCAAUGAGUUUGGAAAGCACCACCCACCUCGUAGGCUUUCAA
rnacentral:lncRNA from 1 species